GACGAACGCUGGCGGCGUGCUUAACACAUGCAAGUCGAACGAUGAAGGGGAGCUUGCUCCCUGGAUUAGUGGCGAACGGGUGAGUAACACGUGAGCAACCUGCCCCUAACUCUGGGAUAACGCUUCGAAAGGAGUGCUAAUACCGGAUAUGAGCCUGGAAGACAUCUUCUGGGUUGGAAAGUUUUUCGGUUAGGGAUGGGCUCGCGGCCUAUCAGCUUGUUGGUGAGGUAAAGGCUCACCAAGGCGACGACGGGUAUCCGGCCUGAGAGGGCGACCGGACACACUGGGACUGAGACACGGCCCAGACUCCUACGGGAGGCAGCAGUGGGGAAUAUUGCGCAAUGGGCGAAAGCCUGACGCAGCGACGCCGCGUGAGGGAUGAAGGUCUUCGGAUUGUAAACCUCUUUCAGCAGGGACGAAGCGAAAGUGACGGUACCUGAAGAAGAAGCACCGGCUAACUACGU
rnacentral:rRNA from 1 species